rnacentral:rRNA from 1 species
CCUCGGGCGGCUGCAGUGGGGAAUAUUGCGCAAUGGGGGAAACCCUGACGCAGCAACGCCGCGUGGAGGAAGAAGGUCUUCGGAUUGUAAACUCCUGUCUUCUGGGACGAUAAUGACGGUACCAGAGGAGGAAGCCACGGCUAACUACGUGCCAGCAGCCGCGGUAAUACGUAGGUGGCGAGCGUUGUCCGGAAUUACUGGGCGUAAAGGGCGCGUAGGCGGCUCUUUAAGUCAGAUGUGAAAACCCAGGGCUUAACUUUGGGAGUGCAUUUGAAACUGAAGGGCUCGAGUGCAGGAGAGGUAAGUGGAAUUCCUAGUGUAGCGGUGAAAUGCGUAGAUAUUAGGAGGAACACCAGUGGCGAAGGCGACUUACUGGACUGUAACUGACGCUGAGGCGCGAAAGCGUGGGGAGCAAACAGGAUUAGAUACCCUGGUAGUC